UACGUAGGGGGCAAGCGUUACUCGGAAUUAUUGGGCGUAAAGGGCGCGUAGGCGGUCGUGUGCGUCGGAGGUGAAAUCCCCGGGCUUAACCCGGGAGCUGCCUCCGAUACGGCACGGGCUUGAGUCCGGGAGAGGGGAGCAGAAUUCCCAGUGUAGCGGUGAAAUGCGUAGAUAUCAGGAGGAACACCGAUGGCGAAGGCAGGUCUCUGGGCCGACUACUGACGCUGAGAAGCGGAAAGCAUGGGGAGCGAACAGG
rnacentral:rRNA from 1 species